rnacentral:miRNA from 1 species
UUUUGAAGACUAGGAUUUUAU